rnacentral:lncRNA from 1 species
AGAGCAAAAAGGUAACCGCCGCCCCGCCCCGUGGGCUGGUGACGGGCUGCAGGAUCCUAGCACCCCAGGCCAACCUGCCUCGCCAGAAGCCCGCCCUCCGCGAGUUGCUGGUUCAAAGUAGCUGCUUCCCUUCCUUGUGUCCUCGUCCACCUUCUCUAGCCAUGUGCUCGUCGGAGUUCCGCUUUGGUCCCCAAAACUAGGUGACAGAACGGAGGAAAAGUCUGAAGUGUUCCAUAUUUGCAGGAGUCAGAGACCAGGUCCCCGGGGACUCUGAUUUCCAGCAUUGCUAGAGUGUGGGGCGUAACCGUGGGAACAGAGUGUUGCCUGAGGAGAACUCUAGAUUCAUCAGUGGUGUUAGAUGGGUGAGGAGGGACAGGUUUUCCUUUUGUUACUUGUUUGUUUUUUCCUGUCACGAACUGGAUGAAGAAUCAGCCUACUGAGGGUCUCCACGGAGGUUAAGCAGCAGCCAGUAUUGAGCUAGUAUCCGCUAUCCUUUGGAUCUCCGAUGUCCUUAGAGGCCCAUUGGUAUUUGUCACAGUGAUGGAAAGCUAACACAGAUCCCUCCCCCACUCUUUAAAGAGAAGCACACAAAAUGUUACCUUUGAUUUUGAACUUGGAGAAAAUGUCAGAUAAAUAGGUACAUUGAAAAGAGUCAAGCAGAAGAGUAGCCACUAUUUUACUUGAAUGUGAAGAAUCAUUCAGCUAAUGAACUGCUGUUUACCAAAAGCAAUUUUUCUAAGUAUAAUUUGGGCUUCAUAAAGAGGUUUAGUGAUCGCUACAAAACCAGGAAUCCAAAUUCUACAGAAGCUGGUCACCCCAAGAAACUCCCUCAGCUGUCUCUUAUCUUGUUCAUCUUCCCUCUUAGCCUGUUCCUUCUCUCUUGCUGACUCUCUAUUCACAUACACUUUCCUAGCCAAUUGUAGCAACUGUGUUAUAUUCAUACCCUCCCAAGUUUCUUGCUUUUGAAUUUGCCUUCUAAUAUCCUGAGCUGACUGGGUCACAAAGUCAUAUUGAUUAACUGGUGGUUAUCAGGAACAGCAGGAUCAAAUGGUGUAUACAUUCUGUAAACUUUACAGAACUACUCAUAAAAUCUCUCAGGGCUCCCAUUGGGCUCCUACGAUGUUUCUAGCACUUUAAUCAUAUUUGUAGGCCUUUUACUCAUGGCUCGUAUCCCUGCCAGGAGGGCCAUCUGAUAAUUGCUUAAGCUGUCCUGGCCUCCUGGGGUGUUGGGGUUCCAAUCGGGCUGUUCAUUCACUGGAAAUUGCUGUUCAUGUCAAGCAUCUGGAUUUUGUGUGCCUGCUGGCAUUCUAGGAGCAUUGAUCUUUUUAAUUUCUCCUAAAACUGUAUUUCUUUAGAAGUUAACAAAGUUCUUUACAGUCCUCCCAAUUAGGACAAUGGGUAGCAAAGAUGGAAUCAAAUAAUUGAAGCAUUUUGGAG